ensembl:lncRNA
GUCCGGGUGGGCGUCUGUCCAUGGUGGCGGCUCCGGCGCGGGACGUGGACCCCACUCAGUCAAUGUCUUAGUCCCCUCUCCUCGCGUCCCUGGAUAGUCCACCCUCACCGCCGACCAUGGCCUAGUAGUCCUCACCCAGAACCCCACUGGACUGAGGAGCAGAUCGGGCCUGAAGGGCAGCUCGGGAGUGAGGGGAAGCUCGGGAGUGAGAGAAAGCUCGGGAGUGAGAGAAAGCUCGGGAGUGAGAGAAAGCUCAGGCAGGUAGAUAGAUAGAUCUACCAGAUCCUGGCUGGCUGGUGGUUUCAGCAGAUCCUGGCUGACUGGCAGAUCCUGGCCGACUGGCGGAUCCUGGCUGACUGGCAGUUCUGGCAGAUCCCGGCUGACUGGCAGAUCCCGGCUGACUGGCAGAUCUGGAAGAGUCUGGCUGACUGGCGGAUCUGGAAGAGUCUGGCUGACUGGCGGAUCUGGAAGAGUCUGGCUGACUGGCGGAUCUGGAAGAGUCUGGCUGACUGGCGGAUCUGGAAGAGUGGCUGACUGGCGGAUCUGGCUGACUGGCGGACCUGGAAGAGUCUGGCUGACUGGCGGACCUGGAAGAGUCUGGCUGACUGGCGGAUCUGGAAGAGUGGCAGAUCUGGAAGAGUCUGGCUGACUGGCGGACCUGGAAGAGUCUGGCUGACUGGCGGACCUGGAAGAGUCUGGCUGACUGGCGGAUCUGGAAGAGUCUGGCGGAUCUGGAAGAGUCUGGCGGAUCUGGAAGAGUCUGGCUGACUGGCGGAUCUGGAAGAGUCUGGCGGAUCUGGAAGAGUCUGGCUGACUGGCGGAUCUGGAAGAGUCUGGCUGACUGGCGGACCUGGAAGAGUCUGGCUGACUGGCGGAUCUGGAAGAGACUGGCGGAUCUGGAAGACUGGCGGAUCUGGAAGAGUCUGGAAGACUGGCGGAUCUGGAAGAGUCUGGUUGACUGGCGGAUCUGGAAGAGUCUGGUUGACUGGCGGAUCUGGAAGAGUCUGGUUGACUGGCGGAUCUGGAAGAGUCUGGUUGACUGGCGGAUCUGGAAGAGUCUGGUUGACUGGCGGAUCUGGAAGAGUCUGGUUGACUGGCGGAUCCUGGCAGACUGAAAGAUCUGGCUGCUCCAUGCUGACUGGCGGCUCUGGCUGCUCCAUGUAGGCUGACAGCUCUGGCGGCUUCUUACAGACUAGCAGCUCUGGCGGCUCCGUGCAGACUGGCAGCUCCUUGCAGACUGGCUGCUCUGGCUGCUCCUUGCAGACUGGCAGCUCUGGCUGCUCCAUGCAGGCUGGCAGCUCUGGCUGCGCUGAACAGGCGGGAGACUCUGGCACCGCAGGAGAGGAGGAAGGCUCUGACAGCACUGGAGAGGCGAGGCGCACUGUAGGCCUGAUGCGUGGUGCUGGCACUGGUGGUACUAGACCGAGAACACGCACAGGAAGCCUGGUGCGGGGAGCUGCUACCGGAGGGCUGGGGUGUGGAGGUGGUACUGGAUAGACCGGACCGUGCAGGCGCACUGGAGCUCUUGAGCACCGAGCCUGCCCAACCUUACCUGGUUGAAUGCUCUCGGUCGCCCUGCCAGUGCGGCGAGGUGGAAUAGCCCGCACUGGGCUAUGCAGGCGAACCGGAGACACCAAGCGCAAGGCUGGUGCCAUGUAAGCCGGCCCAAGGAGACGCACUGGGGACCAGAUGCGUAGAGCCGGCUUCAUGGCAUUUGGCUCGACGCUCAAUCCUGCCCGGCCGAUACGCGGAGCUGGAAUAUACCGCACCGGGCUAUGCACCCGCACUGGAGACACCGUGCGCACCACUGCAUAACACGGUGCCUGCCCGGUCUCUCUAGCCCCCCGGUAAGCACAGGGAGUUUGCGCAGGUCUCCUACCUGGCGUAGCCCUACUCCCUGUGAGCCCCCCCCCAAGAAAUUUUUGGGGCUGACUCUCGGGCUUCCUUGCCAACCGUGUUCCCUCAUAUCGCCGGCUCCUCUCUCCGGCUGCUUCUGCUCUCCUCGCUGCCUCCACCUGUUCCCAUGGAAGGCGAUCCCUUCCCGCCAGGAUCUCCUCCCAUGUAUAGCAACCCUUGCCAUCCA